rnacentral:rRNA from 1 species
GAUGAACGCUGGCGGCGUGCCUAAUACAUGCAAGUCGAGCGAACGGACGAGAAGCUUGCUUCUCUGAUGUUAGCGGCGGACGGGUGAGUAACACGUGGAUAACCUACCUAUAAGACUGGGAUAACUUCGGGAAACCGGAGCUAAUACCGGAUAAUAUUUUGAACCGCAUGGUUCAAAAGUGAAAGACGGUCUUGCUGUCACUUAUAGAUGGAUCCGCGCUGCAUUAGCUAGUUGGUAAGGUAACGGCUUACCAAGGCAACGAUGCAUAGCCGACCUGAGAGGGUGAUCGGCCACACUGGAACUGAGACGCGGUCCAGACUCCUACGGGAGGCAGCAGUAGGGAAUCUUCCGCAAUGGGCGAAAGCCUGACGGAGCAACGCCGCGUGGGUGAUGAAGUUCUUCGGAUCGUAAAGCUCUGUUAUUAGGGAAGAACAGAUGUGUAAGUAACUGUGCACAGCUUGACGGUACCUAAUCAGAAAGCCACGGCUAACUACGUG